rnacentral:rRNA from 1 species
UAAGGAAUAUUGCUCAAUGGGAGAAAUCCUGAAGCAGCAACGCCGCGUGGAGGAUGAAGGGUCUAUGACUUGUAAACUCCUGUAAAGAAGGAAAAAAUUCCCAUUAGAUGGGAGAUGAUGGUACUUCUGGAGUAAGCCCCGGCUAACUACGUGCCAGCAGCCGCGGUAAUACGUAGGGGGCAAGCGUUGUCCGGAUUUACUGGGUGUAAAGGGUGCUCAGGCGGAUUUGUAAGUCAGAGGUGAAAUCUUACAGCUUAACUGUGAAACUGCCUUUGAUCCUGAAAGACUAGAUAAGGGAAGAGAGUGAUGAAAUAUCUGGUGUAGCAGUGAAAUGCGUAGAUAUCAGAUAGAAAACAAAUGGCGAAGGCAGUCACUUGAUCCAUUACUGACGCUAAAGCACGAAAGCGUGG